rnacentral:tRNA from 1 species
GGAAAAAUAGUUUAAUUUUUACAAAACAUAACACUGAAAAUGUUAAAAUGACAUAGUCUUUAUCCA